rnacentral:tRNA from 1 species
GAGUUAGUGGUCCAAUGGUAAAGCGCUCGUUGCGGAGCCAGAGGGUCCUGGGUUCAAUCCCCGACGAGGUCG